rnacentral:rRNA from 1 species
AUUGAACGCUGGCAGCAGGCUUAACACAUGCAAGUCGAGCGGGGUGAUGGUGCUUGCACUAUCACUCAGCGGCGGACGGGUGAGUAAUGCUUAGGAAUCUGCCUAUUAGUGGGGGACAACAUCUCGAAAGGGAUGCUAAUACCGCAUACGUCCUACGGGAGAAAGCAGGGGAUCACUUGUGACCUUGCGCUAAUAGAUGAGCCUAAGUCGGAUUAGCUAGUUGGUGGGGUAAAGGCCUACCAAGGCGACGAUCUGUAGCGGGUCUGAGAGGAUGAUCCGCCACACUGGGACUGAGACACGGCCCAGACUCCUACGGGAGGCAGCAGUGGGGAAUAUUGGACAAUGGGGGGAACCCUGAUCCAGCCAUGCCGCGUGUGUGAAGAAGGCCUUAUGGUUGUAAAGCACUUUAAGCGAGGAGGAGGCUCUUUUGGUUAAUACCCAAGAUGAGUGGACGUUACUCGCAGAAUAAGCACCGGCUAACUCUGUGCCAGCCGCCGUAAUAC